rnacentral:rRNA from 1 species
AGAAUCAACGCUGGCGGCGUGCCUAACACAUGCAAGUCGAACGAGAAAGUGGAGCAAUCCAGUGAGUAAAGUGGCGACCGGGUGAGUAACACGUGACUAACCUACCUUCGAGUGGGGGAUAACCCUCGGGAAAACCGAGGCUAAUACCGCAUAACAUCGUGAGAUCAAAGCAGUAAUGCGCUGGAAGAGGAGUUCGCGGCCGAGUUACGCUAGUUGGCGGGUAAUGGCCCACGAAGGCGAUGAUCGGUA